UAUUUUAAUUCUCUAGUCUCUACCAGUUGGCUUCUCUGGAUCUCACUCAAAAUCAGCCUCUCAAUCGUUUUUCUCUCACACUCACGCUCACCCGCUCGAUCUAUUCUCUCUCACACUCUGCCCCCUCGAUCCGUUCUCUCACUCAGCCUCUGCAAGAACUCAGCCUCUACAAGAACUCAGCUCUCGUCUUUCUCUCCAUAACGUCGAGCUGCUCUCCUUCCCACCCAGCCUCGGCAAGAACCAGGCGACCCCGCCGAUGCAAGAACAAGGCCACCAUGGGGUAAACUAGGCAGACCUCCAAUUGUUUAUGAGAUUCUUCUACCACAAUGCUUAUAGAUGGUUUCCUGCAUAUGGGAGAGCUGAAUGAUGGACAGGAUCAUAUUAGAUUUAAGAUUUCAUCCUUCUGGAUCAACUCAUUUAGAGGAAUCUGCUCUGGAUUUGGAUCGCAAUUACAGUGGUCAUCCUAAUUUUCCCUCAUCCAAUCCUUCUCCUCUCCAGCCGUUUGCUUCAGCUGGUCAGCACUCUGAGAGUAAUGCCGCCUACUUCUCAUGGCCAACUUCAAGUCGAUUAAUUGAUGCAGCGGAAGAUAGGGCCAAUUAUUUUGGAAACUUGCAGAAAGGUGUUCUGCCUGAGACUUUUGGUUUGCCAAAAGGGUAGCAAGCUACAACCUUGCUAGAGUUGAUGACUAUUAGAGCAUUCCAUAGCAAGAUUUUGCGUCGGUUUAGUCUUGGUAUAGCAAUUGGGUUUCGAAUCCAAAGGGGUGUGCUAAUCGAUAUUCCUGCUAUUCUUGUCUUUGUUGCUCGUAAAGUUCACAGGCAAUGGCUCAACCAUUUACACUGCCUGCCUACUGCUCUUGAGGUAUCUUAUUGUCAUUACGUACCUAUCUUAAAAUAUUUCACUCAGUUUUCCUUUUAUGUGUCAUUUGUUACCUUCUUCUUCUUUUUUUCUUUUUUUUUUUUAAAAGAGACAAAGGUCAAUGUCUAAUUUUGCUAUUCACUUGAAACAUAAUUGUACAUACCCCAAUCAUCACCAACUAUUUUCUAAAUUUGGAUGGACAGCUAGUUUAUGCAGAAAGUUUAAAAGUCAUAAAUAACCCUUUUGUUCUUUUGGCAAUAGAUGUCAUUUUGAGCUUGAUGUUUUCAUAUUUCUCGAGAAAAAUAUUGGCAGAAAUUAGAAUAUUUUUGAACAUGUAGGCCUAUUUAAGUCCUUUGUAAUGCUGUAAGUUUUUCUUUCAUUUUCUG